UAUCAACUCCCCCCUGUGCCGCAGUUAACACAAUAAGUAUCCCGCCUGGGGAGUACGGUCGCAAGAUUAAAACUCAAAGGAAUUGACGGGGGCCCGCACAAGCAGCGGAGCAUGUGGUUUAAUUCGAAGCAACGCGAAGAACCUUACCUGGACUUGACAUCCCUUGCAUAGCCUAGAGAUAGGUGAAGCCCUUCGGGGCAAGGAGACAGGUGGUGCAUGGUUGUCGUCAGCUCGUGUCGUGAGAUGUUAGGUUAAGUCCUGCAACGAGCGCAACCCUUGUUAUUAGUUGCUACCAUUAAGUUGAGCACUCUAAUGAGACUGCCUGGGUAACCAGGAGGAAGGUGGGGAUGACGUCAAAUCAUCAUGCCCCUUAUGUCCAGGGCUACACACGUGCUACAAUGGUAGGUACAAUAAGACGCAAGACCGUGAGGUGGAGCAAAACUUAUAAAACCUAUCUCAGUUCGGAUUGUAGGCUGCAACUCGCCUACAUGAAGCUGGAGUUGCUAGUAAUCGCGAAUCAGAAUGUCGCGGUGAAUACGUUCCCGGGCCUUGUACACACCGCCCGUCACACCAUGAGAGCUGGUAACACCCGAAGUCCGUGAGGUAACCGUAAGGAGCCAGCGGCCGAAGGUGGGAUUAGUGAUUGGGGUGAAGUCGUAACAAGGU
rnacentral:rRNA from 1 species